GUGGUAUUAUGACCUGGUACUAAAAGUUUCUCCACGGGUUACUUCAAAAGGAAAGCAUAUCUACAUCCAUUACAUGUGCUGUGUAGGUGGAGUGGUAAGGAAGGAUCGCGCAAGAUCGGAGGUUGUAGGUUCGAAUCCCACGAACCACGCACGUGCAUAUUACGUGUGAAAAUCACAUGUGAGCAAGGCCGGGGAAGAGACGAGCGGCAGGGAAAAUACCAUGAAAUAUGCAUCCCAUUUCUUCUUGUCCCUUCAACCUAAUAGAAAACAAAGAUAAUCCUAUCAACUCAAUCAACCACGCAACAGGACAUCCCAUUCACUAAACCAAACACACACCCUUAUCCCUUAGGAUCUAGGAUUGCUAUCUUCUCUCUAUCACCUAGUUGCUAUCGACGGCUUUGUUUUCAUUGGAACUAGGGCCGUUGGGGACGUAUCAAGGGCCCGUUGUGAGUAUUACAAUUAGUCCCUAGAGCUAACUGUAAUUAUACAGUUGAUAUUCCUU
rnacentral:lncRNA from 1 species